CCUCAUUCGCAUUCUGAGCAAGGAGUAUAACAUGUACGGCUGGUGGGUAGGAGAACUGAACAGCCUCAUUGGAAUUGUCCCAAAGGAGUAUCUCACCUCUGCCUUUGAAAUGGAAGAAAGAUGAAUCCCAGGAAAUAUUCUUCUCUCUGUCCUGCCUUUAUGAAGAAACAGAUCCAUCCAAUGCUCCCACUCCCUACUCUCACUGGAUUCCUCUCUCCACUGAAGAAACCCAAGUCUCUCCAUCACCUCAAAGUGACUGUGAGCCACCMGUAAGACAACUGGGAAGAGGCACCGUUCAUCAACACUGUUACUAAGCCUGCCUGCUCAUGGCUCCUCCCAUCUCUAAACACGCCCACACACCUACUUCUACCUUUGCCACAGGAUUGACACAAAGAGGACCAUAGAGAUAAACCCCUUGG